rnacentral:rRNA from 1 species
CCUACGGGGGGCAGCAGUGAGGAAUAUUGGUCAAUGGACGAGAGUCUGAACCAGCCAAGUAGCGUGAAGGAUGACUGCCCUAUGGGUUGUAAACUUCUUUUAUAUGGGAAUAAAAUGUUCCACGUGUGGGCUUUUGUAUGUACCAUAUGAAUAAGGAUCGGCUAACUCCGUGCCAGCAGCCGCGGUAAUACGGAGGAUCCGAGCGUUAUCCGGAUUUAUUGGGUGUAAAGGGAGCUUAGGUGGAUUGUUAAGUCAGUUGUGAAAGUUUGCGGCUCAACCGUAAAAUUGCAGUUGAAACUGGCAGUCUUGAGUACAGUAGAGGUGGGCGGAAUGCGUGGUGUAGCGGUGAAAUGCUUAGAUAUCACGAAGAACUCCGAUUGCGAAGGCAGCUCACUGGACUGCAACUGACACUGAGGCUCGAAAGUGUGGGUAUCAAACAGGAUUAGAUACCCCAGUAGUC